AUACGUAGGGGGCGAGCGUUGUCCGGAUUUACUGGGCGUAAAGGGUGAGUAGGCGGUUAUGUAUGUCAGGUGUAAAAGGCGUAGGCUUAACUUACGUUAGCACUUGAAACUGCAUAACUUGAGUGCAGGAGAGGUAAGUGGAAUUCCUAGUGUAGCGGUGAAAUGCGUAGAUAUUAGGAGGAACACCAGUGGCGAAGGCGACUUACUGGACUGUAACUGACGCUGAGUCACGAAAGCGUGGGUAGCAAACAGGAUUAGAUACCCUGGUAGUCCACGCUGUAAACGAUGAGUGCUAGGUGUUGGGUAGCGAUAUUCAGUGCCGAAGUAAACACAAUAAGCACUCCGCCUGGGGAGUACGGUCGCAAGACUGAAACUCAAAUGAAUUGACGGGG
rnacentral:rRNA from 1 species